rnacentral:rRNA from 1 species
UACGUAGGAGGCGAGCGUUGUCCGGAAUUACUGGGCGUAAAGAGCGCGUAGGCGGGUCUUUAAGUGAGAGGUGAAAUUCUGAGGCUCAACCUCGGAACUGCCUUUCAUACUGGGGACCUUGAGUGCGGGAGAGGCGAGUGGAAUGGUCGGUGUAGCGGUGAAAUGCGUAGAUAUCGAUCGGAACACCCAUGGCGAAGGCAGCUCGCUGGCCUGCAACUGACGCUGAGGCGCGAAAGCCGGGGGAGCAAACAGG